rnacentral:rRNA from 1 species
GUGGGGAAUCUUGCGCAAUGGGCGAAAGCCUGACGCAGCCAUGCCGCGUGAAUGAUGAAGGUCUUAGGAUUGUAAAAUUCUUUCACCGGGGACGAUAAUGACGGUACCCGGAGAAGAAGCUCCGGCUAACUUCGUGCCAGCAGCCGCGGUAAUACGAAGGGGGCUAGCGUUGCUCGGAAUUACUGGGCGUAAAGGGCGCGUAGGCGGACAGCUUAGUCAGAGGUGAAAGCCCAGGUCUCAACCUUGGAAUUGCCUUUGAUACUGGCUGUCUUGAGUUUGGGAGAGGUGAGUGGAACUCCGAGUGUAGAGGUGAAAUUCGUAGAUAUUCGGAAGAACACCAGUGGCGAAGGCGACUCACUGGCCCAAUACUGACGCUGAGGCGCGAAAGCGUGGGGAGCAAACAGGAUUAGAUACCCGAGUAGUCC